rnacentral:rRNA from 1 species
GACGAACGCUGGCGGCGUGCUUAACACAUGCAAGUCGAACGGAAAGGCCCUGCUUUUUUGGGGUGCUCGAGUGGCGAACGGGUGAGUAACACGUGAGUAACCUGCCCUUGACUUUGGGAUAACUUCAGGAAACUGGGGCUAAUACCGGAUAGGAGCUCCUGCUGCAUGGUGGGGGUUGGAAAGUUUCGGCGGUUGGGGAUGGACUCGCGGCUAAUCAGCUUGUUGGUGGGGUAGUGGCUGACCAAGUCUUUGACGGGUAGCCGGCCUGAGAGGGUGACCGGCCACCAUGGGACUGAGAUACGGACCAGACUCCUAUGGGAGGCAGCAGUGGGGAAUAUUGCACAAUGGGCGGAAGUCUGAUGCAGAGACGCCGCGGGCGUGAUGACGGUCUUCGGGUUGUAAACCGCUUUCGCCUGUGACGAAGCGUGAGUGACGGUAAUGGGUAAAGAAGCACCGGCUAACUACGUG